UGACUUAUUUGGCUCCUUCAAUCUCCAUCAGAGGUUGGAGAAGUCGAGCCAACCCUUACCAUUCUGAGGUCAUUGUCACAAAAAAGUUCAGGAUCUCCUAAUCCAAAAGUCGGUAGUGCAAGAGGACUUCUAGUCUUGAUGCGGAUGCUCCGACUGCCAGUAGGCUCGGCUACCCUUUUUUGAUGGGCCUUCUUAUUUGGUUUAUCCGGAGAACCCGCAUCCUUCUCCACGACCAUCUCUGCAACUAAGGCAAGUAAGUCAUCGAUAAAAGCACAGUGGAAAUCAAUGAGUAUAAGACCCUA
rnacentral:lncRNA from 1 species